rfam:Kazachstania africana CBS 2517 chromosome 1, complete genome
GUUUGUGAUGAGAAAACGUCCUUAGAGACAAUGCUAUAAACCCAGCUCUUCGAUCUUUUUUCAAUUGAAAUGAGAAGAGAUAUUUGUCAAACGCUCUGAUA